rnacentral:sRNA from 9 species
CGCUUUGGAAUCCCGGGAUUCGGCUGCGAUGGCCCAUCGCUCAUUCAUGAUGAAUGCCAGCGAUGGGGCAAAGUGUGGGUGGCCCAUCCAUUCCUUUUUCUUUCUCACCAAAGUCAAUACAGAAGUGCCAAACAUAUCGUCGGUUUCGUCAGGGUAUCGAUCGUUGUUGCUUGCUCUGGGCUCAAAGGUGUUGAG